rnacentral:rRNA from 1 species
UGAACGCUGGCGGCGUGCCUAAUACAUGCAAGUCGAGCGAACGGACGAGAAGCUUGCUUCUCUGAUGUUAGCGGCGGACGGGUGAGUAACACGUGGAUAACCUACCUAUAAGACUGGGAUAACUUCGGGAAACCGGAGCUAAUACCGGAUGAUAUUUUGAACCGCAUGGUUCAAAAGUGAAAGACGGUCUUGCUGUCACUUAUAGAUGGAUCCGCGCUGCAUUAGCUAGUUGGUAAGGUAACGGCUUACCAAGGCAACGAUGCAUAGCCGACCUGAGAGGGUGAUCGGCCACACUGGAACUGAGACACGGUCCAGACUCCUACGGGAGGCAGCAGUAGGGAAUCUUCCGCAAUGGGCGAAAGCCUGACGGAGCAACGCCGCGUGAGUGAUGAAGGUCUUCGGAUCGUAAAACUCUGUUAUUAGGGAAGAACAUAUGUGUAAGUAACUGUGCACAUCUUGACGGUACCUAAUCAGACAGCCACGGCUAACUACGUG